CCCAGGGCAGAGUUCUGAAACCAAAAUUUUCUUCUGAAGGAAGAAGGCAAACAUGGUAUUUUCCAGGCUGCUGAAGCUGAUCAUGGCAUCAAUGUGGCUGGGAUCCAGUUUUGCCCAGAAGGUGACUCAGGCCCAGCCAGCCAUGUGGGUGCAGGAGAAGGAGGAUGUGAGCCUGCUCUGCUCCUAUGAUGCAAGUGAUACACGUUAUGGUCUCCUCUGGUACAAGCAGCCCAGCAGUGGGGAGAUGGUCUUCCUCAUCCUUCAGAACUCUUACAGCCAGCAAAAUGCCACAGAAGGUCGCUACUCAGUGAAUUUGCAGAAGGCAAGCAAAUCCAUCCAGCUUGUCAUCUCAGCCUCACAGCUGGGGGACUCAGGGGUGUAUUUCUGUGCACUGAGAGAGGGCACAGAGUCUUAUUGA